rnacentral:rRNA from 1 species
GAUGAACGCUGGCGGCGUGCCUAAUACAUGCAAGUCGAGCGAACGGACGCGAAGCUUGCUUCUCUGAUGUUAGCGGCGGGCGGGUGUGUAACACGUGGAUAAUCUACCUAUAAGACUGGGAAAUCUUCGGGAAACCGGAGCUAAUACCGUAUAAUCUUUUGAACCGCAUGGUUCAAAAGUGAAAGACGGCCUUUGUGUCACUUAUCGAUGGAUCCGCGCUGUAUUAGGUGGUUGGUAAGGUCAUGGGUUAUCAAGGCAACUAUGCAUAGCCGACGUGCGAGGGUGAUAGCCCACCCUGGAACUGGGACACGGUCCAGGCGCCUACGGGAGGCAGCAGUAUGGAAUCUUCCGCAAUGGGCGAAAGCCUGACGGAGCAACGCCGCGUGAGUGAUGAAGGUGUUCGGAUCGUAAAACUCUGUUAUUAGGGAAGAACAUAUGUGUAAGUAACUGUGCACAUCUUGACGGUACCUAAUCAGAAAGCCACGGCUAACUACGUG